UACGUAGGGGGCAAGCGUUGUCCGGAAUCAUUGGGCGUAAAGCGCGCGUAGGCGGCCACUUAAGUCGGAUGUGAAAGCCCUUGGCUCAACUGAGGAAGUGCACCCGAAACUGAAUGGCUUGAGUACUAAAGAGGGUCGCGGAAUUCCCGGUGUAGCGGUGAAAUGCGUAGAUAUCGGGAAGAACACCAAAGGCGAAAGCGCUCUGCUGGGCCGAAACUGACACUGAGAGACGAAAGCUAGGGGAGCGAAUGGG
rnacentral:rRNA from 1 species